rnacentral:rRNA from 1 species
AUGGCAGGAUUCUCACACCUCCCGCAGCAGAUGGAGUAUGGCCUCACCAAUGCCGGCAGCUUCUUGCUCUGCCAUGGCAAUCCUGAAGAUGCAGCCGCCUCACUGGAGGGCUCGUCUGGUGUUCUUGACACUCCUCUUGUGGCCACCGCUUCUGUGGAGAAGAAGAUGAAGCCCAAGGAAGACACCGCCAGCCUCAACUCUGCACACUCCAAGGAAACCAAGGAGAGUACCAGGAAGAGGGGAGGCAAAAAGCAGGGCAAGGAGGUGGAUGAGGAGGAAGAGGAACCAAAGGGGUACAUCCAUGUGAGGGCGAGGAGAGGGCAGGCAACAGAUAGCCACAGCCUUUCAGAGAGGGUGAGGAGGGAGAGGAUCAGUGAGAGGAUGAGGAUGCUGCAGUCCCUGGUCCCUGGCUGUGACAAGGUCACUGGUAAGGCUCUCAUUUUGGAUGAGAUCAUCAACUAUGUGCAGUCACUGCAAAACCAAGUUGAGUUCCUGUCCAUGAGGAUUGCUUCCCUGAGCCCUGUGGUGUAUGGUUUUGGCAUGGAGAGUGGGGCUGCCUUCAGUGACCAAUCACAAAAGAUUGAAGGCAUGUUCCAUGAGGCAGCGGCAUUGCCUACUGGUCCUCCCAUGAACAGAUCAUCUAGCCCAGCUCCAUCUCAGGCCAUGAUGGACACAGGCACCUCCUCCUCCUCCCCACCCUACUCACUUCAAGGCACCCAGGACAACGGCAGCAGCAGCAGCAGCUACAUGAUGCAAACAGUAGGUGAGCCAAGGCACGAACUGUUCAAUCAAGUGAUGUUCAGUAACUACAUGUGCUCCUUCCAGCAGUGA